rnacentral:rRNA from 1 species
UACAGAGGUGCCAAGCGUUAGGCGGAAUCACUGGGCUUAAAGCGUGUGUAGGCGGAUGUCUAAGUCCCUUGUGAAAUCCCACGGCUCAACCGUGGAACUGCUUGGUAUACUGGAUGUCUUGAGCCAUCUAGGGGCUACCGGAACAAAUGGUGGAGCGGUGAAAUGCGUAGAUAUCAGGAGGAACACCUGUGGCGAAAGCGGCUCACUGGACCACAACUGACGAUCAGGCACGAAAGCGUGGGGAGCAAACAGG